rnacentral:tRNA from 1 species
GUACUGUAGCUCAGUCAGUCGAGCAUGAGACUCUUAAUCUCCAGGUUGUGGGUUCAAGCCCCGUGUUGGGCA